rnacentral:lncRNA from 1 species
GAUCGAUGGGCCGGGCCCGGACCCCAUGAUGCAUAUUUAUAACAUAUUUUCAAGGGGUGCGACCCGAGAUUCGAAUCACAGUCCUCCAGAAUGGAAAACCGAAGCGUUUCCAUGCGGCCAAUCCGACCAAUUUUUGCGUUUUUAUACUAUCCCUACUGGAAUCGACCUUGUUUACAGCUUCAUCUCAGCAUUAGUUCCAUUGAGUUUGAAAAUAUCGAAAUGAACGUCGAUGGUAGCAGUUCACAUUAUUCAAGUUAUCUCUUAAUGCAAGUAAAAAGUAGAAUGAAAGUCUACUUACUUGAAACUUGAAAACAUCUUUCCAUUUUACUUGAAUUCAAAUAAAACGAAACGUCCACGUUAGCAAAAUGUUUUCAAGUUGUAUGCAUCAUGCAACUUGAUUACAAAUAACUUGACUAAUGUAAAAGUAACCUUAGAGAUGCGCAACAGUUUAAAUCUUAAGAAUUAUCCUCUCGCAUUAUUGAUUCCCCC